GUCUCGGUAGCUCAGUCGGCAGAGCGCGUGCCUUUUAAGCCCGUGGCCGCGGGUUCGAGCCCCGCCCGAGGUG
rfam:Perkinsus marinus ATCC 50983 gcontig_1104296512582, whole genome shotgun sequence.